AUACGGAGGGUGCAAGCGUUAUCCGGAUUCAUUGGGUUUAAAGGGUGCGCAGGCGGACUUGUAAGUCAGUGGUGAAAUCCCGGGGCUCAACCUCGGAACUGCCAUUGAUACUGCAAGUCUUGAGUUUGGUUGAAGUGGGCGGAAUGUAGCAUGUAGCGGUGAAAUGCAUAGAUAUGCUACAGAACACCGAUCGCGAAGGCAGCUCACUAAACCAACACUGACGCUCAGGCACGAAAGCGUGGGGAGCGAACAGGAUUAGAAACCCCAGUAGUCC
rnacentral:rRNA from 1 species